GAGAAAUAGACGCUAGUGUAAAAGUGUAAAACACAUGGUACAUCAUUCUCGCCAGUCUGCGGAUUUCGGUAUCUUUCACUUCUGCUUAACCGGAAUUCGAGUGAACGCACGCUUAAUAUAACCAAUAAGCAAAACCAACAUAACCUCGUAUAGCUUUUGAUAUUAUUUUGAUUUACAUUUUACAAUAAUUUGUCUUUAAUUACGAGACAGCAGUUGUUCUAAUUUUAAUUUAAGGUUUCUUGUGUGUUUCGUUUUACGUCUGCACACAUUAUAAUUCCAGUUAACUGUCUUUGUAUAAACGCUACAAAAAAUGGGUCGCCGUCCUUGUGCUGUUUUAAAUUGUGUAGAAGAAAAUCGAAUUAGACAUCGAUUUCCCAAUCCUGAUAAAUUCCCAGACCGUUUUCAGAAAUGGUUGUUUUUAUGUGGGAAGAAAAAACUUUUUGAGAAAGAUCCAGAGUUAGUUUACCGGUCGCUGAGAGUAUGUCACGCACAUUUUAAACCGGAAGAUCGUACGACAAAUAUGUUUAUCCGCAAAGAGUGUUUGCCUGAAUUAUUUCUUCCACCACCUCUUCAACUUGUUGCUAAAUCAUCAGAAGAAGAAAGGAAAGAUUCUGCAGCGACGGGUCUCCCUGAAAAAAUAGUUGAUGAAUGUGAUCCUAAAACACUUACGGACAAAAACUUCGUGGUAAAUUUAGAGACUUUUGAACCAGAACCAAUUGUUUUAACAGAGCAUGUCACAUCAGAAAGCAGUGAGACGGAAGAUACACUAUUUUGUGACAAAGUUUUAGAUACAGUCGAAAAUGCCAAUAGUAGUUCUGUUGAUUAUGUUAUGAGUACACCACUUGAAAAACCGUAUUUUAGGUCCAUCAAAAAUUUUCCGAUGGUCACGUUACUACGGAUGUUUGUCGUAUUUGUUUUCGUUUUUUAACUGACCAGGAAACCGUCCAAAUUAAUGAGGGAACAAAUUCGGACUUGGUUAAUAUUGAACAUAUGUUAAAGACAGUAUUACCAGCUCUGGAUUUGAAUGUGUGUUCCAAUAAAGUAAUUUGUUUACAAUGUUCAGACCUUGUAAACCACAGUUUUAACUUAAAUACACUAUGGCUGUUAACGGAACAGAAAUUACAAACCAUUAUUGGUUCUAAGAAAAAUAAAUAUAAUCCCGAAGCCGAUUUAAUCAUUGUUACUAAAUCAGAAGUUGAGGAAGGUUCAGAAGAGACUAUCAUCAAGAUAGAGCAUGACCAUGCGUAUGAAAAACAGGCACAAACUUUACCAGUUGUAUUAGUUUCUAAUGGUAAUGGGAAAAUUUCAUAUCACACCAAGACCAAAAAAAUAACUAGGAAAUCUCAGUGGGGUUCCGGUCCCUACAUAUGUGAAAUAUGUGGUGCCUUAUACCACCAGAUACGCGCUUUCAGACGGCAUAUAUGGAAUCACAACCGCAAAAAUACAACAAAUCGAAAACAAGAACAUGUGUGAGCUUUGUGGCUAGUUAUAUUUUAAUUACUACUCACUAAGAACACAUAUGAAGGAAAAACAUAACGAACACAAAUGUACAAUAUGCGAAAAAGUUUUUGCCACUACAGCUAAACUCAAAAGACAUGUAAAUGAGCUGUACUUAAGGUUGUUUUUGUGUCAGUGUUAUUAUUGUGGAAAACAAUUUUCAAGUGCUAGUAGUUUAAGAUUACAUAUGUUGAUACAUAAUCCCAAAAAACAUUAUCAGUGCCACGUAUGUAACAAGAAGUUUCUUUUACCUACGCGUUUAAGAAAACAUGUUCGCACCCACGUUGAUAUUAAGCCGGUCAGACGUGACUUAUAAUAAACGAUUCAAAUAUAAAAGUUCUAUGAAAACAUAUGUUGAAAUAUGGCAUUUGAAUCAAGGGAAAUAUGAAUGUAAUGUAUGUGGGAAGCUGUAUUGGAAAAACUAUGAUUUGAAGAGACAUAAAGUUAAGAUAGUACAUGGAUACACUGAGGAUCGCAAUGCAGAUGAAUGAGUUUAAUUUUAUUAUUUUUUUAAUAAAAAGUUAACACACGA